AGAGUUUGAUCAUGGCUCAGAAUCAACGCUGGCGGCGUGCCUAACACAUGCAAGUCGAACGAGAAAGGGGAGCAAUCCCUGAGUAAAGUGGCGACCGGGUGAGUAACACGUGACCAAUCUACCCUGGAGUGGGGGAUAACCUCGGGAAACCGGGGCUAAUACCGCAUAACAUCCCUGGAUCGGAAGAACUGGGGAUCAAAGGAGCAAUUCGCUUCAGGAGGAGGUCGCGGCUGAUUAGCUAGUUGGCGGGGUAAUGGCCCACCAAGGCGAAGAUCGGUAGCCGGCCUGAGAGGGCGCACGGCCACACUGGAACUGAAACACGGUCCAGACUCCUACGGGAGGCAGCAGUGGGGAAUUUUGCGCAAUGGGGGAAACCCUGACGCAGCAACGCCGCGUGGAGGAUGAAGUCCCUUGGGACGUAAACUCCUUUCGACCCGGACGAUAAUGACGGUACGGGUGGAAGAAGCCCCGGCUAACUUCGUGCCAGCAGCCGCGGUAAUACGAGGGGGGCAAGCGUUGUUCGGAAUUAUUGGGCGUAAAGGGCGCGUAGGCGGUGCGGUAAGUCACCUGUGAAAUCUCUGGGCUCAACUCAGAGCUUGCAGGCGAAACUGCCGUGCUCGAGGGUGGGAGAGGUGCGUGGAAUUCCCGGUGUAGCGGUGAAAUGCGUAGAUAUCGGGAGGAACACCUGUGGCGAAAGCGGCGCACUGGACCACAUCUGACGCUGAGGCGCGAAAGCUAGGGGAGCAAACAGGAUUAGAUACCCUAGUAGUCC
rnacentral:rRNA from 1 species